rnacentral:rRNA from 1 species
AUUGAACGCUGGCGGAAUGCUUUACACAUGCGAGUCGAACGAUGAACCUUAGCUUGCUAAGGGGAUUAGUGGCGAACGGGUGAGUAAUGUAUCGGAACGUAUCCAAUAAUGGGGGAUAACUAGUCGAAAGAUUAGCUAAUACCGCAUACGUCCUACGGGAGAAAGCUAGGGACCUUCGGGCCUGGCGUUAAUGGAGCGGCCGAUAUCUGAUUAGCUAGUUGGUGGGGUAAAGGCUCACCAAGGCGACGAUCAGUAGCUGGUCUGAGAGGACGACCAGCCACACUGGAACUGAGACACGGUCCCGACUCCUACGGGAGGCAGCAGUGGGGAAUUUUGGACAAUGGGCGAAAGCCUGAUCCAGCCAUUCCGCGUGAGUGAAGAAGGCCUUCGGGUUGUAAAGCUCUUUCGCAAGGGAAGAAAACUUAAGCUCUAACAUAGCUUGAGGUUGACGGUACCUUGAUAAGAAGCACCGGCUAACUACGUGCCAGCAGCCGCAGUAA